rnacentral:rRNA from 1 species
CACGUAGGGGGCGAGCGUUGUCCGGAUUUAUUGGGCGUAAAGAGCUCGUAGGCGGCUCGGUAAGUCGGGUGUGAAACCUCCAGGCUCAACCUGGAGACGCCACUCGAUACUGCCGUGGCUAGAGUCCGGUAGAGGAGCGUAGAAUUCCUGGUGUAGCGGUGAAAUGCGCAGAUAUCAGGAGGAACACCGGUGGCGAAGGCGGAUCUCUGGGCCUUACCUGACGCUCAGGUGCGAAAGCUAGGGGAGCGAACAGG